GAGAAUUUAUAGAUUUUACUGCUAAUAAAAUUAAGAAUAUGUUAUAUAUUCAAUUCUUU
rnacentral:tRNA from 1 species